rnacentral:lncRNA from 1 species
AUUUUUAAAAAUCUAUGUCCAUAUUUUCUUGAACAAUCCAAAAAAUCACUUGAAAGCUUAUUUUUUUUAAAUCUUUGUCUAAAGAUGUCUUCUGCACUGGGGUCUUCAUUCUCCAUUCAACAGGGAAGUUAACACCCAAGGAACAACUCUGAACCUAUACUUCUCCCUUCCUAUGGAGUGCCUUCAGCUCACCUCCUCAAUGAACCACUUUCAACGAAAUCCUUUUCUCACCAUCUGCUUUGUGGGAACAUAAAACUAAGAGGUUCUGAGCCCAUGUAUACACUCUUGUUAUUUAAUAUGGAUGACUCCGGGUCACUCAGCAAUCGAAGAAAGAAAAGACAAAGCUUUCAUGUUUGCUUUCCACUUUCUCUGGGCCUAGAGGAGUUAAAAGGCAGAAUGUGAAAGCCAAAGAGAACAAAAACAAGCUCAUUUCUAAUGAAGACUUUGAUUCAAGUUUUUACUUUUGGAGCUUCAAGUUCAGUGUAAGUCUUCCUAUUUAAGCAAAAUACUUUAUUCUAAUUGAUAUGAAAUUUUAUUUAUUAA